AACAGAAGAAUGACAAAUCAAAUUUUUUCUCCUGAUUUUUAGCCUUUUUCUCCUGUAAAAAUUUAAAUCCAACUAAAAAUGGUAAAAAUCAGGAGGAAAAAGUUGAUUUAUCAUUCUCCUAUU
rfam:Gossypium hirsutum cultivar TM-1 chromosome 18, whole genome shotgun sequence